rnacentral:rRNA from 1 species
UGGGGAAUAUUGGACAAUGGGCGCAAGCCUGAUCCAGCAAUGCCGCGUGUGUGAAGAAGGCCUUCGGGUUGUAAAGCACUUUUAUCAGGAGCGAAACGCUGUCGGCUAAUACCCGGCGGAACUGACGGUACCUGAGGAAUAAGCACCGGCUAACUUCGUGCCAGCAGCCGCGGUAAUACGAAGGGUGCAAGCGUUAAUCGGAAUUACUGGGCGUAAAGCGUGCGUAGGCGGUUUCUUAAGUCUGCUGUGAAAUCCCCGGGCUCAACCUGGGAAUGGCAGUGGAUACUGGGAGGCUAGAGUGUGUCAGAGGGUGGUGGAAUUCCCGGUGUAGCGGUGAAAUGCGUAGAGAUCGGGAGGAACAUCAGUGGCGAAGGCGGCCACCUGGGACAACACUGACGCUGAGGCACGAAAGCGUGGGGAGCAAACAGGAUUAGAUACCCUGGUAGUCCACGCCCUAAACGAUGCGAACUGGAUGUUGUCUCAACUCGGAGAUCAGUGUCGAAGCUAACGCGUUAAGUUCGCCGCCUGGGGAGUACGGUCGCAAGACUGAAACUCAAAUGAAUUGACGGGGUCAUAGCUGUUUCCUG